rnacentral:rRNA from 1 species
GUCCAUGCCGUAAACGAUGUCUACUAGCCGUUGGGGUCUUUGAGACUUUAGUGGCGCAGCUAACGCGAUAAGUAGACCGCCUGGGGAGUACGGUCGCAAGACUAAAACUCAAAUGAAUUGACGGGGGCCCGCACAAGCGGUGGAGCAUGUGGUUUAAUUCGAAGCAACGCGAAGAACCUUACCUGGCCUUGACAUAGUAAGAACUUUCCAGAGAUGGAUUGGUGCCUUCGGGAGCUUACAUACAGGUGCUGCAUGGUUGUCGU